rnacentral:lncRNA from 1 species
AGAGCAGCGCGCGGGGCAGACCUCCUCGGGUCCUCCGGCGCUUCGGUCUCCGGAGACGCCCGGCCUCCUGAAGGGUUCGGCUUGUCCUCCUCUGGCGCUCAGCUCCCUCUGGCGGCCGGGCUGGCAGGACCUCAGCGCCCAGCCCUUCCGUCUUGUUACGUCCAGGCAAGUUGGCCUGGCUUUCGGAUGCCUCUGGACAGUCCCCGUCCAGGCCCGCGACCCAGCCCGAAUGGAGGCCCCGGGGCCCACAGAGCGCGGCCUCCCAGGCCUUCCAGCCCUGGCUGCGGACGCCGCAGCCUUCUCGCCCCUGGGCCGGACGCGGCCUUCCUGCCCAAGACCACUGGGGCCCCCGCCCCUCCCGGGACAGGGCUGUGGACAGGCCAGCUGCUGCCUUAUUUUUAGCGCCAUUCCAUUCGCGCGGUUAUAUUUAACUCGACCCACUCCUCCGAGGAGGUCGCUCGGACAUCGAAUUCUCCACAUCGCAGCUUGGGCCUGCCCGCCUUGCCUCAGGGGUAGUUCCUCAAGGGACAGAUUGGAAAACCCCUGCUUAAGAAUCCUUGACAUAUCUGGAGCUUGGAGAGGACGGGACUGGGGGAGAGAUCUGGUUCUAGGGGCAGUGGCCACCGCGCCUGCAGUGCACUGCGUGGGGAUUCCGCCUUGUGUGGGGCGGGGGAGGGGAGGAAGGGACAGGAUCAGUCCUGUGGGAAGGAUUCUCUGCGGGGAGUAUUGUGUCCAUUUCCUACUUCUGCAUGACUCAGAACACUAGGUGACCUGGAAGACCUCUCACGACCCUGCCCUUGGAAAAGUUUAUCAUUUAGCGUGAGUGCAGGAAUCCCCUCUUCUCUACCCUCCAGUGCACCCAACGGGAUAUUUGAUUUCAAUGGUAUGUUAGCUCCUUAGUUCCAGCCCAGUCUUCCCUUGGCAAAAUCUUAAAAAGACCAUGCCAAAGGCUCACUCACAUCCUGGGGAAAGGACCCACUUGGAUAACAUACGGAAACACCAUUGUGAUACACGCUUUAUUCACACAGAAUGUCAGUUAGCAAACAAUGCAGAAGUCAUGUACUAAAGGUACACUAACAGAUGUGACAUGGAUCGCGGAUAUCGAAACACAUUUUUUUGUUUUUCUUUGAGACAGGGUCUCACUCUGUGUCUCAGGCUGGAGUACAGUGGUGCAAUUGUAGAUGGCUGCAGCCCUCGACCUCCUGGGCUCAAGUGAUCCUCCUGCCUUAGCCUCUCGAGUAGCUGGGAGUACAGAUGCACACCACCACACCCAGGUAAUUUUUUAUUUUUAUUUUUUGUAGAGAUGGGAUCUCGCUCUGUUGCCCAGGCUAGUCUCAAGCUCUUGGCCUCAAACGAUCCUCCCACCUCAGCCUCUCAAAGUGCUGGGAUUAAAGGUGUGAACCAUCCUGCCAGGCCAAAACACAUUUUAAAAAUUUAAA